rnacentral:rRNA from 1 species
GACGAACGCUGGCGGCGUGCCUAAUACAUGCAAGUCGAACGCAGUGGGGACGGGUGAGUAACAAGUGGGUAACCUCCCGUCAGAGGGGAUAAAACUUGUAAACAGGUGCUAAAACCGAUAUUGAUGGAUGGGCCCGCGGUGCAUUAGCUAGUUGGGGGGGUAACGGCUCACCAAGGCCACGAUGCAUAGCCGACCUGAGAGGGGGACGGGCCAAACUGGGCCGGGGACACGGCCAAAACUCCUACGGGAGGAAGAAGUAGGGAAUCUCCGGCAAUGGCUGAAAGCCUGCGCGAGAAACGCCGGUUGAGUGAAGAAGGUUUUCGGAUCGUAAAGCUCUGUUGUCAGAGAAGCGGUAUCUAACCAGAAAGCCACGGCUAACUACGUGCCAGCAGCCGCGGUAAUUC